CAAACCAGAGCCUCUAGCUCUGGUGGUAUAGGACCCUCAGCUGAGAUACCCGCCAUCACGAGUUCGAGCCCCGGUCACUGCGGAAUUCACAUGCUGCAGCGUUUCAGGAGCCGACACGUGGAGUGCCAUUUGGCCAGCCACGUGGCUAGUCUGAGCGAACCGACUUGUCGAGGACUGUUAGGAUAUCUGGGUUAUCAAAAAAAAAAAAAAAAAAAAAAAGGCAAAUUAGAGAUUACAAACAACAAAAAAGGCAAAGAGAGCAGGGGAAGUGUUUGUAACAUUUCCCACCAGAAUUCGAAUCCAAUAAAUCAUGCGUAAUAAUGAUCUGAGUUAUGGAUUGUGUUUUGUCGACCCACUGAUAUCAAAAACAAAAUUGUAUAAGUAUAUAAACAAAUAAACAAACGUUAACUAAACUUU